rnacentral:rRNA from 1 species
AUUGAACGCUGGCGGCAGGCCUAACACAUGCAAGUCGAGCGAGUGGCGGACGGGUGAGUAAUGUAUGGGAAACUGCCUGAUGGAGGGGGAUAACUACUGGAAACGGUAGCUAAUACCGCAUACCAUCAGAUGAACCCAUAUGGGAUUAGCUAGUUGGUGGGGUAAAGGCUCACCAAGGCGACGCUCCCUAGCUGGUCUGAGAGGAUGAUCAGCCACACUGGGACUGAGAAACGGCCCAGACUCCUACGGGAGGCAGCAGUGGGGAAUAUUGCACAAUGGGCGCAAGCCUGAUGCAGCCAUGCCGCGUGUAUGAAGAAGGCCUUAGGGUUGUAAAGUACUUUCAGCGGGGAGGCGUUACCCGCAGAAGAAGCACCGGCUAACUACGUGCCAGCAGCCGCGGUAAUUC